rnacentral:misc_RNA from 1 species
AACGGUCUAUACCUGCGGUACCUGCGGAAGGAUCAUUACCGAGUGAGGGCCCUCUGGGUCCAACCUCCCACCCGUGUUUAUCGUACCUUGUUGCUUCGGCGGGCCCGCCGUCACGGCCGCCGGGGGGCACCCGCCCCCGGGCCCGCGCCCGCCGAAGACACCCCUGAACGCUGUCUGAAGAUUGCAGUCUGAGCGAUUAGCUAAAUCAGUUAAAACUUUCAACAAUGGAUCUCUAGAUCG